UACGUAGGGUGCGAGCGUUAAUCGGAAUUACUGGGCGUAAAGCGUGCGCAGGCGGUUUUGUAAGCCAGAUGUGAAAGCCCCGGGCUUAACCUGGGAAUGGCAUUUGGGACUGCAAGGCUGGAGUGUGGCAGAGGAAGGCGGAAUUCCCGGUGUAGCGGUGAAAUGCGUAGAUAUCGGGAGGAACAUCAGUGGCGAAGGCGGCCUUCUGGUCCAGUACUGACACUCAAGUGCGAAAGCGUGGGGAGCAAACAGG
rnacentral:rRNA from 1 species